UACGUAGGGGGCUAGCGUUGUCCGGAAUCAUUGGGCGUAAAGCGCGUGUAGGCGGUCCGGUAAGUCCGCUGUGAAAGUCGGGGGCUCAACCCUCGAAUGCCGGUGGAUACUGUCGGGCUAGAGUCCGGAAGAGGAGAGUGGAAUUCCUGGUGUAGCGGUGAAAUGCGCAGAUAUCAGGAGGAACACCGAUGGCGAAGGCAGUUCUCUGGGCCGUAACUGACGCUGAGGAGCGAAAGCGUGGGGAGCGAACAGG
rnacentral:rRNA from 1 species